UAGACUCUUGUUACAUAGGUGCACAGAAUUCAGCCUUUCUGCAACAGGCUUCUUACAUAACUGGUGGUGUACAUCAUAAGCCGCAAAAUUUGGAUGGGUUGUUUCAAUAUCUUAUGACUAUCUUUGCUACUGACUUGCAUUCUCGCAGUUUCAUACAUCUUCCAAAGUCAGUUGGUGUAUAGUUUCGUGCCUC